UACAGAGGGUGCGAGCGUUGUCCGGAAUCACUGGGCGUAAAGGGCGCGUAGGCGGCCGAUCAAGUCGGGGGUGAAAGCCUGUGGCUCAACCACAGAAUUGCCUUCGAUACUGUUUGGCUUGAGACCGGAAGAGGUUAGUGGAACUGCGAGUGUAGAGGUGAAAUUCGUAGAUAUUCGCAAGAACACCAGUGGCGAAGGCGGCUGACUGGUCCGGUUCUGACGCUGAGGCGCGAAAGCGUGGGGAGCAAACAGG
rnacentral:rRNA from 1 species